rnacentral:rRNA from 1 species
AUUGAACGCUGGCGGCAGGCCUAACACAUGCAAGUCGAGCGCGAAAGUUCUUCGGAAUGAGUAAAGCGGCGGACGGGUGAGUAAUACAUGGGAAUCUGCCUGGUAGUGGGGGACAACGUUUCGAAAGGAACGCUAAUACCGCAUACGCCCUACGGGGGAAAGGGGGGGAGUCGCAAGACCUCUCGCUAUCAGAUGAGCCC